GGUGGGGGUGGUGGGUUAGGGGGUGGCGGUGGGGUGGGUUGGGGUGGAAAUUCCUACAAAGGGUUUUGCGACAGACUGAUUCCGACGGAAUUGCGUCGGAAGACCAUUUCCCGACGGAAUUUCCGAUGUAUCCGACGGAUUUUUUCCGUCGGAAUCAAGUUGUUUUCUUGUAGUGCCUUCAAAUUUGGAUUGUGAUUCUAGCUCGGAUGAUGAUGAGGCCAUUGAUGAUGGAGAUGAUGAUGAUGAUGAGGUUGAUGAUAGUUUCCUAUACUAGGGGCUGACUUAUCUCAUAAUUUAAACUUCAAAGAUGGCUGACUUAUCUCAAAAUCAAGGGCUCUGAGCCUGCAUGCAUUUUUUGCUGUUUAGUUACAAAAUUUUCAUCUUCUAAGAAGUGUUACAGAUUAAUUCCUGCUGUUUAUAAAAUUGGUAAACACUUAGAUUACAGUGAAUUUCUUAUUUUGGUUAGCAUCAACUCUUAUCAAAGCACGACUGAUGACUUCCACUGUUAGAUUAUUGGGGAUGUUUUUGUAGUUAAUGUGCUGUAAAAUGACUUCCACUGUUAGAUUAUUGUCAGACAUUUUUUUCUUCUUGUUUUUUGGUGGAAAAUUAUGGUUUAAAAUGUUGUUAGAUUUUGAAUAAUUUAGCUUUGUUUUGUUUAGAUAUUGAAUUGAUGAAAGAAAGGAUUGCAAAGUUAUUAGUAAUAGACUAAUAACUUUGCAAACCUUAUUGAUAAUUGAGAGAGGUACAAACUAAGUGACUAAUAACUUAUUAGUCUAUUACACUGAUAUACUUACUAUUCUUGAUAAUUGAGAGAGGUACAAACUAAGUGACUAUAGUUCUUAUGUUCAACCUUGUUGGCUUAUUGAUGCAUUAUUAGCAAUGUCACUCGUUGUAUGUGUUAAUACGUCACACUAUCAGCUAAUGGUGUGUCUGGUUAAGUGUUAUAAAUAUAUUCUCCUUA